rnacentral:rRNA from 1 species
UACGUAGGUGGCAAGCGUUGUCCGGAUUUACUGGGCGUAAAGGGCGUGCAGGCGGUCUGUUAAGUCUAGGGUGAAAGCUCCCGGCUCAACUGGGAGAGGUCCUUGGAUACUGGCGGUCUUGAGGGAGGCAGAGGAAAGUGGAAUUCCCGGUGUAGUGGUGAUAUGCGUAGAUAUCGGGAGGAACACCAGUGGCGAAGGCGGCUUUCUGGGCCUUACCUGACGCUGAGACGCGAAAGCGUGGGGAGCAAACAGG